UUGAACGCUGGCGGCAUGCUUUACACAUGCAAGUCGAACGGUAACAGGCCGCAAGGUGCUGACGAGUGGCGAACGGGUGAGUAAUGCAUCGGAACGUGCCCAGUCGUGGGGGAUAACGCAGCGAAAGCUGUGCUAAUACCGCAUACGAUCUACGGAUGAAAGCAGGGGACCGCAAGGCCUUGCGCGGACGGAGCGGCCGAUGGCAGAUUAGGUAGUUGGUGGGAUAAAAGCUUACCAAGCCGACGAUCUGUAGCUGGUCUGAGAGGACGACCAGCCACACUGGGACUGAGACACGGCCCAGACUCCUACGGGAGGCAGCAGUGGGGAAUUUUGGACAAUGGGCGCAAGCCUGAUCCAGCCAUGCCGCGUGCAGGAUGAAGGCCUUCGGGUUGUAAACUGCUUUUGUACGGAACGAAAAGACUCUUUCUAAUAAAGAGGGUCCAUGACGGUACCGUAAGAAUAAGCACCGGCUAACUACGU
rnacentral:rRNA from 1 species